rnacentral:rRNA from 1 species
UACGUAGGCAGCGAGCGUUGUUCGGAAUUACUGGGCGUAAAGAGUGUGUAGGCGGUGCUCUAAGUUCGGUGUGAAAUCUCCUGGCUUAACUGGGAGGGUGCGCCGGAAACUGGAGUGCUCGAACGUGGGAGAGGAAAGCGGAAUUCCUGGUGUAGCGGUGAAAUGCGUAGAUAUCAGGAGGAACACCGGUGGUGUAGACGGCUCUCUGGACCGUAACUGACGCUGAGACACGAAAGCGUGGGUAGCAAACAGG